rnacentral:rRNA from 1 species
UAGUAGAACUAACAGGAUUCCCCUAGUAACUGCGAGUGAAGCGGGAAAAGCUCAAAUUUAAAAUCUGGCGGUCUUUGGCCGUCCGAGUUGUAGUCUGGAGAAGUGCUUUCCGCGCUGGACCGUGUAUAAGUCUCUUGGAACAGAGCGUCAUAGAGGGUGAGAAUCCCGUCUUUGACACGGACUACCAGUGCUUUGUGAUGCGCUCUCAAAGAGUCGAGUUGUUUGGGAAUGCAGCUCAAAAUGGGUGGUGAAUUCCAUCUAAAGCUAAAUAUUGGCGAGAGACCGAUAGCGAACAAGUACCGUGAGGGAAAGAUGAAAAGCACUUUGGAAAGAGAGUUAAACAGUACGUGAAAUUGCUGAAAGGGAAACGCUUGAAGUCAGUCGCGUCUGCCGGAACUCAGCCUUCCUUUUGGUUGGUGCACUUUCUGGUAGACGGGCCAGCAUCGAUUUUGACCGUAGGAUAAGGGCUGGAGAAAUGUGGCACCUUCGGGUGUGUUAUAGUCUUCAGUCGCAUACUACGGUUGGGAUCGAGGACCGCAGCGCGCCGCAAGGCAGGGGUUCGCCCACUUUCGCGCUUAGGAUGCUGGCAUAAUGGCUUUAAACGACCCGUCUUGAAACACGGACCAAGGAGUCUAACAAACCUGCGAGUGUUUGGGUGGAAAACCCGAGCGCGUAAUGAAAGUGAAAGUUGAGACCUCUGUCGUGGAGGGCAUCGACGCCCGGACCUGACGUUCUCUGACGGAUCCGCGGUAGAGCAUGUUUGUUGGGACCCGAAAGAUGGUGAACUAUGCCUGAAUAGGGUGAAGCCAGAGGAAACUCUGGUGGAGGCUCGUAGCGAUUCUGACGUGCAAAUCGAUCGUCAAAUUUGGGUAUAGGGGCGAAAGACUAAUCGAACCAUCUAGUAGCUGGUUCCUGCCGAAUUUCCCCUUCAGGAAA